rnacentral:tRNA from 1 species
GGGCCGGUAGCUCAGCGGUAGAGCAGCGAGCUCAUAACUCGACAGGCCUGGGUUCGAAUCCCGGCCGGCCCA